AAAUAGUCUUCUUACUGGAACAGUAGCAGCAUGAAUGAAUAGUGGCUUGUGGGUGAUUUUCUGAUUUUCAGGUUAGGGAGCAAAGGUGGACCUUGGGAAAUAAUCUGGUCAGAGAGUGAGUAAAGCACAGAUUUGACCAUGUAUAUUCAAUUGAUCUCAUACUGUCAAGUUAAAGAGGAAUUGAAGCUGGCUACAGCCUGCAGGCCACAUAGCCCUGGCCCCUGGGUAAUAGAAGACCUUUUGUAACAUUUAGCAAGGUAGCUGAUGUAGCUCUGUCGAAGUAUGUACACAGUAGACAUG
rnacentral:lncRNA from 1 species